AGUUCCAGCUGUUUGACCAGACAACAUCAUCUCUACAGGCAGCAGUGUACAACCUCCUUUAUUUUGUCUGCUCAUGAUUUCCUGCUCUUCGGCUUGACAAAGUGUCAAAGGCAGGCCUAGGGUUCUUCACAAUUUUUCUGCAAGAUGAACAUUUUCUGAGCGCUCUGGCAACUGCAGGAAUUAGGACCGAUUUCCAGGUGAAUCUUUUCAGUGAAAACAGCCCACCUGCCUGUUUUUACAUGGAUUUGAAGCACUACAGCGAGACAUAGACACAACGGGAGCAGGGAAGGCCCCGGCAGCCAGGUCACAGGUCAGCACAGAGGACAAACCCCUGCUUCCCUGAAAAGGAUUGAAAUGUCGUAAGUGCAGCUCCAGCAGCUUCCAGAACGUGCCAAUUCCUUCUGAAAAAGUGGGCUUGGUGAACCACACCUGCAGUGACACGUGACUGACAGUCAAUCAGAGCUCAUCUGCGUCCAUGCCAUCGGGCUGUGCUGGGAGAAACACUUGAGCUGGCUGAGUGCUCUCCAGAAGCAGUUCAGGGACAGGCUUGGCCACAACACAGCCUCCCAACUUCACCUUCCCUGACCCUGACAAGGUAACUGCAGCGGAGAAAAGAUGUGUUCAAAGAAGGAAAUAAGGAAGGCAUCAGGAAAGACAGAGGAAGCCAAAUAAUCCCCACAAUGCUUGUGUGAGCUUCAUUUCUCUACAAGAUUUCCAGAAGAGCAAUUUCAAUUUUGCAUCCUCACCACAAGCACCUUUGUAUUUUGUACAAAAUUGUGUCAUUCAUCUAUGUGCUUACAAAGAUGAAAUAGCAGCUGGAACACAAGACUAAAACUGCUUUAAUUCUCAGAAGAAGAAACCCCUGUGGAGGUACAAGGUGCAGGGAGCAUACAGACUCUUUGCCCUGCACUCAAGACCACUUACCUCUCCUCAGCUGGCAGAUGACAACCACCUGCAGCAGCUUAAGCACAUCCCAGAAAUGCAUUUCAGUGGAUUUUCCCAACCACAGAGAACCAUCUCAACUCCAAGGAAACAGAGAUUGUCUCUCACACACCUGUAUGCUGUUUUUAUCCUGCUGACUCUCACUCCUCUUUUCUCACACCCAGCCAGAUGAAGCAGCCAUCUCCACCUGGGUUUCCCUGUUGCCACCAGAUCACAGUCCCAGUGCUGAGACAGAAUCCUGUUUCCCCAGUCCACCUCAGAGCUCAGUCCUGAGCUUUGCACAAGCCAAUGAUGUGCUCCAGGAAAGGGAAAUGGUGGAGGUGUGAUGGGAAAAUGUCCAAAAGGCAGUAAUGCUGUGAUCUUAACAUUUACUUAUAUUUAAAAAGACAUCUGUGAAGUCCUGCCUCUGGGCAGAUUUCUGUCUCUCUCCCCUGAAAGUGACUGCAUGUCCCACGCUCCAGAUUCAUCCCAAAGCCCUCAGAGAUCAGGACAAGCCCAGUUUAGCCAGGAGCAGGUAUGUUACCUGCCCUUUCUAAGACUUAAGCCAGCAACCCAGCCAAAGAACAGUGUCACCACCAGCUUUCCUGAGCGCACCUGCAUAGAGAAGUAGCCUAAGGAACCAGCUUGUGGACUUGACUGGAAGAUGAAAUUUUCAGCCUUUUGAAAAGGUUUCCUUCCUCUCUUGUCUCUUUGUGGACCUAUGGCAGCUUUUGAAAAAUAAAACAAUGAGGAAAUGUGGAGAAAAACAUAGAUGCCCGUUUG